rnacentral:rRNA from 1 species
GCACAAUGGGGGAAACCCUGAUGCAGCCAUGCCGCGUGUGUGAAGAAGGCCUUCGGGUUGUAAAGCACUUUCAGUAGGGAGGAAGGUAGUGUAGUUAACACCUGCACUAUUUGACGUUACCUACAGAAGAAGCACCGGCUAACUCCGUGCCAGCAGCCGCGGUAAUACGGAGGGUGCGAGCGUUAAUCGGAAAUUACUGGGCGUAAAGCGCAUGCAGGCGGCCUGUUAAGUCAGAUGUGAAAGCCCCGGGGCUUAACCUCGGAAUUGCAUUUGAAACUGGCAGGCUAGAGUCUUGUAGAGGGGGUAGAAUUUCAGGUGUAGCGGUGAAAUGCGUAGAGAUCUGAAGGAAUACCAGUGGCGAAGGCGGCCCCCUGGACAAAGACUGACGCUCAGAUGCGAAAGCGUGGGGAGCAAACAGGAUUAGAUACCCUGGUAG